AGACCAGCCAAGGCGUCCAGGACUCCUUCAAAGCAACCAUCUUAGCGGACCCUGACUCUGAGAGAUCGAAGGCUGCCCGAUGUGUUACUACUGGCAUUCCGAUGGCAGUGUUUGUGGCUGCCCUAAUUGCGUUAUGUGUGUCUAGACAAUGAUAGUCGGUCCUGGGCCUGUGAUCAAAGAUGAAAGUGGCCUUCACCUCCACAACAGCCAUUUUAAAUGUGCAGUUUUUAAAUAGCAUUUUUAAUUAGUGUCUGAAAAACGUAUUCACUUUA